UGGCAGUGCACGUGGCUCAGA
rnacentral:misc_RNA from 1 species